UCGUGCUACUGCUGCUGAUGUCUGCUUAGGAUAGCGUUCGUAUACCAAAAGCGGUUCCGUUGGUAUUGAUCGAGUCUACAUAGCACAUUGCGUUAGUCUCAGCGUAGAAGACAUCGUUUUCGCUCGCCUGGCAGAUCUCUAACGACCAUGAUAAGCACGGGAACAAUCUAGUUUCACUUCUGGAAGCAAUGGCAGUAAUCGUAAGAGUGGAAGCUGCAGAAAAUGCGGCGGAAAUGAGGCAUCGUUGCCUGAAGGAUUGCAGGUCCCAGUAAACGUAUUUUGGCAGAACUGCUGUUCAUUGUUUCCAGCUACCAGCUACUGCUGCCAGCUAUUUCCCGCGAGCGUUGGGCUAAAUCAUUUUUUUGUUACUACCAAGGAUUAACACCCAGAAACGAAAUCGAAAUUUCUCAAUAGAGUACCAUUUCUCUACCUGAUUAAUUAUAAUCGUAUUACUACUUGCUUCUGUGUAUUGCUAAUAACGUUAGUUAGUUGCGAGAAUGUUUAAUGUACUGGUUCCCUUAGCUUUUUGGUUAACUUGAAGUAAAUGUUUCUGUUUCUCUUCCAUUUUCCAGUAACUUGAUUAAUGACAUGAAAGACAUUUAGGAUUAGCAUUGCAGUAGACACUUCCAGCAUCGUCUCCACUAGCAACAGUAUGCAGUAAUAACACCAUUCACUAUUACUGCUAGGUUUUAUCAGUCAACGGUCCAAUCUAGUAAAUUGUCUCAUUCAGUAGCUGAAAAAGAACCGGAGACCGACAAAUAUGUCGAAUGACUGUUACAGCUCUUGAAUAAAAAAUCCCUCUCUUUUUGGUCAAAGUUUUUUUGCGACUGAUAUACUCCCGUAUCAGAGUCAUUUUCAAUUAUUCAAGAACCAUUAUAUGAUGAAGGGCGAGAGAUCCGUUGCUGUUUUAACAUCUGUCUCCUAGUUAUUUAGGUAGUUUUGAAAACAAUUCAGUUGAGGACUAUAUUCGCAACGUAACAUAGUCGAAGAUGGUGAAGGCUGUACACACUGAUGGCACAUAAGCCACCUAUCGUGACUGUUCAAAUCUUAUUCCGAAGUUCCCGUUGAUUUCGCCUCUUUACAUACUCAGUGCAGCAGCAACAACGUUUCUAAUAAUCAGUAGCAUGCCCAAUGUGCGAACAGAUUUCAUAUAUAUGAGAGAAGGUACAUGCAACACUUCAGGCCAUCGCAGGCGCUUAGCUCAAUAACGUCUGAUCGAGUGAUGAAGGACUUAAGGAUGUAGGGACUUCGAACAGAAUACGAUCGCUUUUUGACAGAGUGCUCUUUUGCUGAGAACGGUGUAAAAAUCACAUACGGCUAAUAUUGAGUUCGCUUAUAUAUACUUACUUACUACUUGAGUAAUAGAUACUAGAGAACGUUUUAUACAGAUUACAUAAAGGAUAUUCUGUGAAAGGGCUGUUCAGGUAAUACCGAAAGUUAUCGCUUGAAGGGAAGUUAUGAUUCGAAUAUAGAGCUUGAAUGAAAAUGGGUAAAAUUUUUAUUCAGUUCAUCAAGUUCUCCGACAGCAGACAAACAAAUUGCAGUUCGAGCGUGAGGGCAUGAACAACACAAUUAUUUCAAAUUUGUGUCAGUUGAAAAAGCCUAGGUUCCGCUAAAAGUGUCGUACAGAUGAUUUUUCAUCAUUGCCAGCAGCAUCUAUUUCAAACCAAAUAAGGCUUAGGCGACUUAUAACGUAGUAAAAUUGCGAAACAAAUCAACUUACGAACCUUGUCAUUUUAUUGCAACACACAAACUUUAUUUUCGAAAAUAGAAACAUAAGCUUGUCACUUUGCUACCAUAAGCUGCAUGCUAGUCAAACAUAAAUAUACACAUUAUUCAAUAAUUAAUAGUAGGAAACGAAUCAGUUAGACAGGCAUACGCUUAAUAAAAACUCAUGUUACAUUAAACUAUAACACAGCAUCUAGUACAAUCCAGAUACACUCCAGUGACUAUGGACUUUCUGCCGGGGCCACAGUUGUGCCACUGAUUCAUGGGGAGAAAGCCAACAGCACUGAAUAUUAUUGAGCAUAGACAACGCCUCAAUGCAGUGAUACGGUUUUCUUUUUUCCAUUGUUUCAUGCUCUACACGAGUAUUUCGCCCUUUUGGUUUUCGAAAGACAGCGGGUGUCUAUAUAUAUAUAUAUAUAUAUAUAUAAAGUUUCGUCGAAAAAUGAUGGUGGUUGUUUUUAAACGUAUCUCUCUACUACUUGCUCACUUUUUGAGCGAUAUCAUUUGAAAGCGGUUCUUUUUCAUCUGUAAGCAUGUAAUGUGUAUAGACAUGAGAAAGUUACGUGUUUGAAAUAAUAAAAGUGCAUUUUCGACACCUACUUUAUUUCGCUUUUUUUUUUGCCGAAAUCAACAACCUAUGGAGGCAUACUAUAACAUCUAUGCCGUGCACAACGUUCACAGAGGACUGUUUGCUAAGUUUAAAAACGUCUUACCUUGAUUGGUCAUUUGCGGUUAAUAAGAACUUUGGGUGACAAAUGAUGAAGGACAAGGGGACGGGGUGCCAAAAAUCGACUAUCGUUAAGCUUCUUAAAUCCGUGAGAUUUAAUAGAGAAAUUAUAAGUCCGAGUGCCCCGCAGACCGAACAAGAAGCAUAUGGCUUUUAUUAUCCCUCAACAUGUCUUUUAUACAGAGCAACACGCAGCCAUUAAGACAGACUUCGACAAAGAACUACGAUGAGUAAGCACAAAUAGCGCCUUUACGCUGAUGCAGAGUAGAGGAACUCCGGAACUUACUCCGGGAAGUACCUCCUAAAGUCAGAGUCAAGUUAGACGUCUAUCCGGGAAAAAAAAACUAGGAUUUGCUUUUGGUGAAGCUAAGAGCCUCUUAUACAAGGGGAAACGUCUAAGAAAGCACAGCAGUCGACAAUGAUUAGUGUGUGACACAAUUACAUUGAGUCCAUGAAGUUAUCUAGCGCAAAAGGCUGAUGCCAUACGCGCACGACAUAAGUUGUUAGAGCAGCUAAGAGCUUGAAUGUAAGUGUUUUUUUAGAUACCAAAAUAUUCUCCUGUCUCGCGUUAACUGACUGCCAUCCUUCUUAAGCACCGGCAAAAAAAA
rnacentral:lncRNA from 1 species